GCGCAGCAGUCGAGAAACCUCCGCAAUGCGGGAAACCGCGACGGGGGACCCCGAGUGCCGUGGCAACGCCACGGCUUUUCCGGAGUGUAAAAAGCUCCGGGAAUAAGGGCUGGGCAAGGCCGGUGGCAGCCGCCGCGGUAAUACCGGCGGCCCGAGUGGUGGCCGCUAUUAUUGGGCCUAAAGCGUCCGUAGCCGGGCCCGUAAGUCCCUGGCGAAAUCCCACGGCUCAACCGUGGGGCUUGCUGGGGAUACUGCGGGUCUUGGGACCGGGAGGGGCGGGGGGUACCCCUGGGGUAGGGGUGAAAUCCUAUAAUCCCAGGGGGACCGCCAGUGGCGAAGGCGCCCCGCUGGAACGGGUCCGACGGUGAGGGACGAAGGCCAGGGGAGCAAACCGGAUUAGAUACCCCCGUAGU
rnacentral:rRNA from 1 species